GACAGAGGAUGCAAGCGUUAUCCGGAAUUAUUGGGCGUAAAGAGCGUGUAGGCGGCCUGAAAGGUCAGCUGUGAAAACUCGAGGCUCAACCUCGAGACGUCGGUUGAAACCGUAUGGCUAGAGUCCGGAAGAGGAGAGUGGAAUUCCCGGUGUAGCGGUGAAAUGCGCAGAUAUCGGGAAGAACACCCGUGGCGAAGGCAGGUCUCUGGGCAUUAACUGACGCUGAGGAGCGAAAGCAUGGGGAGCGAACAGG
rnacentral:rRNA from 1 species